rnacentral:tRNA from 1 species
GGUCCCAUAGCUCAGUUGGUUAGAGCGUCGUACUAAUAUUAUAAUUGUGUUAUAACAUCGGUAAUGCGAAGGCCGUGAGUUCGAGCCUCACUGGGACCA